ACAAUUAAAUGUCCGCCAGGGUACUACAAGCAUCAGCUUAAAACCCAAAAGACCUGACGGUGUCUCAAACCCCCCUAGAGGAGCCUGUUCUAGAACCGAUAAUCCCCGUUAAACCUCACCACCUCUAGCCACCCCAGCCUAUAUACCGCCGUGUCAGCUUACCCUGUGAAGGAAACAAAAGUAAGCAAAAUGGGCACAGCAAGACGUCAGGUCGAGGUGUAGCGCAUGAAGUGGAAAGAAAUGGGCUACAUUUUCUACCACAGAAUAUCACGAACAUGCACCAUGAAAUAAUGCUUGAAGGUGGAUUUAGUAGUAAAAAGGAAA
rnacentral:rRNA from 1 species